rnacentral:rRNA from 2 species
ACUUAAAUUGAAGAGUUUGAUCAUGGCUCAGAUUGAACGCUGGCGGCAGGCCUAACACAUGCAAGUCGAGCGGUAGCACAGAGAGCUUGCUCUCGGGUGACGAGCGGCGGACGGGUGAGUAAUGUCUGGGAAACUGCCUGAUGGAGGGGGAUAACUACUGGAAACGGUAGCUA